rnacentral:rRNA from 1 species
UACAGAGGGGGGCAAGCGUUGUUCGGAAUUACUGGGCGUAAAGCGUGCGUAGACGGUUAUGUAAGUCAGAUGUGAAAGCCCCGGGCUCAACCUGGGAAUUGCAUUUGAGGCUGUGUAGCUAGGGUGCGGAAGAGGGAAGCGGAAUUCUCGGUGUAGCGGUGAAAUGCGUAGAUAUCGAGAGGAACACCUGCGGCGAAGGCGGGUUGCUGGGCUGAUACUGACGCUGAGGCGCGAAAGCUAGGGGAGCGAACGGGG